rnacentral:rRNA from 1 species
UAAGUCCCUGCCCUUUGUACACACCGCCCGUCGCUACUACCGAUUGAAUGGCUUAGUGAGGCUCCAAGAUUGGCGCCGCGGGAGGGGCAACUUUCCCAUGGCGCUGAAAAUUCAGUCAAACUUGGUCAUUUAGAGGUCGUAAAAGUCGUAACAAGGUUUCCGUAGGUGACACCUGCGGAAGGAUCAUUA